rnacentral:rRNA from 1 species
CCUACGGUGGGCAGCAGUGGGGCAUAUUGCACAAUGGGGGAAACCCUGAUGCAGCGACGCCGCGUGAGUGCAGACGUAUCUCGGUAUGUAACGCUCUAUCAGUAGGGAAGAAAAUGACGGUACCUGACUAAGAAGCCCCGGCUAACUCCGUGCCAGCAGCCGCGGGAAUACGUAGGGGGCAAGCGUUAUCCGGCUUUACUGGGUGUAAAGGGAGCGUAGACGGGGCUGCAAGUCCGGAGUGAAAGCCCAUGGCUUAAACAUGGUACUGCUCUGGAAACUGGGGAGCUUGAGUGCGGGAGGGGCAGGCGGAAUUCCUAGUGUAGCGGUGAAAUGCGUAGAUAUUAGGAGGAACACAGGCGGCGAAGGCGGCCUGCUGGACCGUAACUGACGUUGAGGCUCGAAAGCGUGGGGAGCAAACAGGAUUAGAUACCCCUGUAGUC